rnacentral:misc_RNA from 1 species
GAUGAAGAACGUAGCAAAAUGCGAUACUUGGUGUGAAUUGCAGAAUCCCGUGAACCAUCGAGUUUUUGAACGCAAGUUGCGCCCGAAGCCUUUUGGCCGAGGGCACGUCUGCCUGGGCGUCACGCAUCGCGUCGCCCCCCACAAUUCUCCGUAAAGGGAACAUGUGUUUUGGGGGCGGAUAUUGGUCUCCCGUGCUCAUGGCGUGGUUGGCCGAAAUAGGAGUCCUUUCGAUGGACGCACGAACUAGGGGUGGUCGUAAAAACCCUCGUCUUUUGUUUCGUGCUGUUGCUCGCAAGGUAAACUCUUUAAAAACCCCAAUGUGUCGUCUCUUGACGACGCUUCGACCGCGACCCCAGGUCAGGCGGGACUACCCGCUGAGUUUAAGCAUAUCAAUAAGCGGAGGA